rnacentral:rRNA from 1 species
AACGAACGCUGGCGGCAGGCUUAACACAUGCAAGUUGAACGAUGUAGCAAUACAUAGUGGCGCACGGGUGAGUAACGCGUGGGAACGUGCCCUUCAGUACGGGAUAACACCGGGAAACUGGUGCUAAUACCGUAUAUUCCCUCCGGGGAAAGAUUUAUCGCUGAAGGAUCGGCCCGCGUAAGAUUAGGUAGUUGGUGGGGUAAUGGCCUACCAAGCCUACGAUCUUUAGCUGGUCUGAGAGGAUGAUCAACCACACUGGAACUGAGACACGGUCCAGACUCCUACGGGAGGCAGCAGUGGGGGAAUAUUGGACAAUGGGCGAAAGCCUGAUCCAGCAAUGCCGCGUGAGUGAUGAAGGCCUUAGGGUUGUAAAGCUCUUUUACCCGACGUAUGAUAAUAGACAGUAU